UACAAACCCAGCCAUACAGAAAAAGAUUUGUGCAUGUUUCUCCACCAAACUAGGGAAUAUAGAGACCAGCAUGUUCAAAAAUCAUGAUUACUUCCAUGCUAUGGAUUUUUCAAGAUAUGCAGCAACAUGUGCCCAGAUAUCACAGAUUAGCAUCAAAAUCAACAUCUAUAACCAUUUUCUAAUUGUAGAAAGACCACUAACGUCAUACAUGUGUUUUCUCCACCAGGGAACGAAGCAAGGGUUCAAGAAUACAAAACUAUGAAUUGGGGACCUGUGGUUAAGGUAAUCCCGCCUGUUGGAGAUGUGUUGUCACAUGGACUUUCACACUUCCCACGGAGAACGUGGAUGGUCUGAACCCUCUGGAUGUCUUGGUACUGCUCUGGACUUGGAUUCCCUUGUAAUGGGCACAUACAAACUGAGAUGGGGCAGCCGAGCUAGGUGUUUUGUCCAGGGAGCAGCUUGUACCUUUGUGCCCAGUCAUCCCAGCUCAAACCAGGCUCCUUCCCAGAAAGCCCCAGCGGCUGGAUGCACAUAUGGCUCUGAGCAAACAGGACAGAUGGCUGCUGGCAAGGGCCACUGCUGAGGCAUAUGCUCUUUUGAUGUCCCUCUGCUCUUCGUGGGUCCGACACGGCGAGUUGCCACAUCUGUGCUGCAGAAGCGCAGCACCUCUGUGAUGUGCCAUUGCCUCUCACAGCUGCGUGUAGCCACAGGAACCGGGGCAAAUACAGGACUGGAAAGGACCUGACUAAGGUGGCAGCUGUUUCAGGCCCCCUGGGGCUCCUGCUACCAUCCCUAGGCAGCGAGACACCCAACUCCUGCACUCCUCUGCCCACAGCCUCAGCCCCACUGAAGAGAAGCACAGCAUCUCCGAUCUUCUGGGAAACCUCCUGACUGACCAACAGCUACGGGAGCCUGACUGGCCUGUGGGCUCCUCCUGGCAACCUGGCUCAUAGCUCGGAGAAGUAAAGUCUUGGCAUCAUCUAAGAAGAGAAAAAGCAAGUUUCUGAGCUU
rnacentral:lncRNA from 1 species